AACUCCCAGAAUUGAGGUGUUUGUUGAUGAGGAGUAUGCAGAGUGAGUGAUAAUGACAUGAUUUUACCUUUUCCUACUAGAAAUGAUUUUCUGAGUUAUGCAGAGUGAGUGAUAAUGACAUGAUUUUACCUUUUCCUACUAGAAAUGAUUUUCUGAGUUAUAUUCUGCAUGCGACACUUCAUAUAUUUGGUUAAACACACUGAAAAAGAGAAGUCUGCUUCGCAAUCUGUCAAGGAAUGUGUACCUUUAUGUACUAUCUGAUUAUGUGCAUGUGUGUAAGUGUUUAUUUGUUUUAAUAUUAAUACAUGCUAUCUGAUUAUAAUUCUGCUGUUGAUAUUCUGUCUUUUGUUGUCACGUCUCUUACCAGAAUACUGUUCCAUUUGUUCACAUAUGAAUACCUGUAAGGAUGAUUUUCUAUUUGGAAAUGGUUUCUUUGGAGGAUACUAUCAAGCAAUGCAACUAAAAUUUGGUUUCAUUUAUCUGGUGUGAGUUAGUUUUUCUACUAUUCAAUCUUUGAAAUAUGAGUACUAACAAUGUUUCUCUGCUUCUGAAUGAUUUCAUUUAUAUCAAAUUAAGUUUUAAUUUUGACUGGUAGUUGUAGUAAUUCUUGUUAUUUAUGAAGUAUAAUAGACACCUGUUUCCCUUAAAAUCACACAUCAAAGUUGUUUAUAAUGUAAAAUUUCACCAACCAUAUUGCCCUAUACAAGUUCUUUU
rnacentral:lncRNA from 1 species